rnacentral:lncRNA from 1 species
UUCGGCUUUUAUUAAGCUGGAAAGCCGGAUUAACCCACGCGCCGCAGCUACAUUGCAUCCCAGACCAGUUGAAAUAACCUAACCGACCAUUACAUCCCAGACAGAGAAGCUUCUCUUCCACUAAUCCAUCAUGUACUGUAACAAUCAAAUAGUGUUAAGAUCAUUUACUCAUUAGAAAGAACUGCAAAGACUCUUGUUGACAUACAGUAGAUAAAUCAAUAUAGAGAAAGGUUCUCACUUGUCUGCAUCCAUUUCAUAGGCUCGACAAAGAUCGAGGAGCAUUGCACUUGUUCGGGGUUCCCACUUCUCUUUUUCCAAGCAAAGCAUUCUUC